rnacentral:lncRNA from 1 species
CUUCAGGAACUGCCACCUCCUGAUUGAAACUAACCUCAUCCAGCACAAAGUCAGGAUGUUGAGGAAGGAGAACAGACAGCUGCUAAGGGAGCAGAUUGCAUUGGAAGAAUGCAACAUAGAAACAAAAAUACUAUGUAAGGAAGGCAGUCAGAAGAUCAAAGACCACUAUACUAAGCAGCAGCAGGUCUGAAAUAUUCUGCAGAAGCUCAAACUGAUCAGAGACCAGGUCAAGAUCUUGCUCAGACACAGCUGUUCACCAGGAGCACUGGGUGUGCAAAGCAAAUUAACCACCAUUGCAUUUGACCCUUGUAACCAUGGCAACCUUGGGCUGCAUUUUCUUCUUUUUUGGUUUGCUAUGGGUAAUGAGGCCUUUAUUUUGUCUAGCCUCUGGUCCAGCAAGACUGCCUGUUUGGAAGGCUUCAGAGAAGUGCUGAGAUACAUCAAGAUCUGCUCGGCAUCCAGGAGGGCUCUGAGAAUGCCAAUUUUGGCUGGUCCUGUUGGGUCAUCUAGAAUUAUAUCAUGGUGAUCAGUCAAGUGAAUUUGAAAAACUUUGAGGUACCAUCUGUAACAUCUCUCAUGUUAGCCUUCGAAGGACUAGUCCAUCAACAAAACACCCACUCCAAUGAAGCAUGCCUAUAUUCAUCUUGAACAGAUUAUUACCAUCAGUGACUGCCUUUGCACUAUUUCACCAAGGCCAGCAACAGGCUGUGGGUCUGUGCUGAACAUCUGCAGCAAGAGAAUGAUGCUUAGCUUAAUUAUUUUGUUUGGUUUUGGUUAGAGUUUUGAUUUCUUUGUGUUUUUGGUUUUCCUGUGUUUUCAUUUGAAGUU